UAGCUUAGUGGCGAACGGGUGAGUAACACGUAGGCAACCUGCCCAAAAGAGGGGGAUAACACUUGGAAACAGGUGCUAAUACCGCAUAACCAUGAACACCGCAUGAUGUUCAUGUAAAAGACGGCUUUUGCUGUCACUUUUGGAUGGGCCUGCGGCGUAUUAACUUGUUGGUGGGGUAACGGCCUACCAAGGUGAUGAUACGUAGCCGAACUGAGAGGUUGAUCGGCCACAUUGGGACUGAGACACGGCCCAAACUCCUACGGGAGGCAGCAGUAGGGAAUCUUCCACAAUGGACGAAAGUCUGAUGGAGCAACGCCGCGUGAAUGAAGAAGGCCUUCAGGUCGUAAAAUUCUGUUGUCAGAGAAGAACGUGCGUGAGAGUAACUGUUCACGUAUUGACGGUAUCUGACCAGAAAGCCACGGCUAACUACGUGCCAGCAGCCGCGGUAAUACGUAGGUGGCGAGCGUUGUCCGGAUUUAUUGGGCGUAAAGGGAACGCAGGCGGUCUUUUAAGUCUGAUGUGAAAGCCUUCGGCUUAACCGAAGUAGUGCAUUGGAAACUGGAAGACUUGAGUGCAGAAGAGGAGAGUGGAACUCCAUGUGUAGCGGUGAAAUGCGUAGAUAUAUGGAAGAACACCAGUGGCGAAAGCGGCUCUCUGGUCUGUAACUGACGCUGAGGUUCGAAAGCGUGGGUAGCAAACAGGAUUAGAUACCCUGGUAGUCCACGCCGUAAACGAUGAGUGCUAAGUGUUGGAGGGUUUCCGCCCUUCAGUGCUGCAGCUAACGCAUUAAGCACUCCGCCUGGGGAGUACGGUCGCAAGACCGAAACUCAAAGGAAUUGACGGGGGCCCGCACAAGCGGUGGAGCAUGUGGUUUAAUUCGAAGCAACGCGAAGAACCUUACCAGGUCUUGACAUCUUCUGACAAUUCCAGAGAUGGAACGUUCCCUUCGGGGACAGAAUGACAGGUGGUGCAUGGUUGUCGUCAGCUCGUGUCGUGAGAUGUUGGGUUAAGUCCCGCAACGAGCGCAACCCUUAUUGUCAGUUGCCAUCAUUAAGUUGGGCACUCUGGCGAGACUGCCGGUGACAAACCGGAGGAAGGUGGGGAUGACGUCAAAUCAUCAUGCCCCUUAUGACCUGGGCUACACACGUGCUACAAUGGACGGUACAACGAGUCGCUAACUCGCGAGGGCAAGCUAAUCUCUUAAAGCCGUUCUCAGUUCGGAUUGCAGGCUGCAACUCGCCUGCAUGAAGUCGGAAUCGCUAGUAAUCGCGAAUCAGCAUGUCGCGGUGAAUACGUUCCCGGGCCUUGUACACACCGCCCGUCACACCAUGAGAGUUUGUGACACCCAAAGUCGGUGGGGUAACCUUUUGGAGCCAGCCGCCUAAGGUGGGACAGAUGAUUGUGGUGAAGUCGAAACAAGGUA
rnacentral:rRNA from 1 species